UCAGAGUCUGCAUCUAGAUAUCCAGCGAAGGGAGAACACCCUGAACAGAGAACCACAGGCCACACCAUGCUCUCCAGUCUGCUGUGGGUGUUCGGAGCCUUCGUCUCUUCUGGACUCAUUGUGGCUCAGAAAGUGACUCAAGGUCAGACCGCUCUUUCAAGGCCAGAGGGGACAGCAGUGGUUCUGGACUGUUCCUACAAGACAAAUGUAGCCCUUUAUGAUUUGUACUGGUACAAGCAACUCUUCAGUGGAGAGAUGGUUCUGCUCAUUCACCAGAGUUACACUGGUAAUAAUGCAAAUACUGGUCGCUAUUCUGUCAGUUUCCAGAAAAGAGCUCAGACAAUCAGCCUCACCAUUUCACCCUUGCAAAUGGAAGAUUUUGCAACAUACUUCUGUGUUUUUCGGGAACGCACUGUGCUUCAACUGACAGUAAAAGCUGAACAAAAACUCAGGAGUUCUCUGAGAGCCAGCAGCCCAGCUGAGACUGGCACCUGCAGAUCCCAGACAGGAAGGGAGCAUGGUGGUUGCUUUACUGUGGCCUGGAUCAGUGAAUUAAAUUCUAAGUAA